rnacentral:rRNA from 1 species
GUGCACGCUGGCGGUAGGCCUAACACAUGCAAGUCGAACGGCAGCACAGUAAGAGCUUGCUCUUACGGGUGGCGAGUGGCGGACGGGUGAGGAAUACAUCGGAAUCUACUUUUUCGUGGGGGAUAACGUAGGGAAACUUACGCCAAUACCGCAUACGACCUACGGGUGAAAGCAGGGGAUCUUCGGACCUUGCGCGAUUGAAUGAGCCGAUGUCGGAUUAGCUAGUUGGCGGGGUAAAGGCCCACCAAGGCGACGAUCCGUAGCUGGUCUGAGAGGAUGAUCAGCCACACUGGAACUGAGACACGGUCCAGACUCCUACGGGAGGCAGCAGUGGGGAAUAUUGGACAAUGGGCGCAAGCCUGAUCCAGCCAUACCGCGUGGGUGAAGAAGGCCUUCGGGUUGUAAAGCCCUUUUGUUGGGAAAGAAAAGCAGCAGGUUAAUACCCCGCUGUUCUGACGGUACCCAAAGAAUAAGCACCGGCUAACUUCGUG